UGAGUAACACGUAAGGAACCUACCGAUAAGCGGGGGACGAACAUCCGGAAACGGGUGCUAAUACCGCAUAGGAAGUUUGUUCGCAUGAACAAACUUAGAAAGAUGGCUCUGCUAUCACUUAUCGAUGGCCUUGCGGUGCAUUAACUAGUUGGCGAGGUAACGGCUCACCCAAGGUGAUGAUGCAUAGCCGACCUGAGAGGGUAAUCGGCCACAUUGGGACUGAGACACGGCCCAAACUCCUACGGGAGGCAGCAGGC
rnacentral:rRNA from 1 species